GACGUAGGAUGCGAGCGUUAUUCGGAUUUAUUGGGCGUAAAGCGUGCGUAGGCGGCUGUUUAAGUCUGGUGUUAAAGCUAGGGGCUCAACCCCUGUGGUGCACUGGAAACUGGGCAGCUUGAGUGCGGUAGGGGAAGGUGGAAUUCCUGGUGUAGCGGUGAAAUGCGCAGAUAUCAGGAGGAACACCGGUGGCGAAGGCGGAUCUCUGGGCCAUUACUGACGCUGAGGAGCGAAAGCGUGGGGAGCGAACAGG
rnacentral:rRNA from 1 species